rnacentral:rRNA from 1 species
UGGGGAAUCUUGCUCAAUGUGCGAAAGCCUGAAGCAGCGACGCCGCGUGUGGGAAGAAGGUCCUCGGAUUGUAAACCACUUUCAGGAGGGAAGAAGCGAAAGUGACGGUACCUCCAGAAGAAGCCCCGGCCAACUACGUGCCAGCAGCCGCGGUAAUACGUAGGGGGCAAGCGUUGUCCGGAAUUAUUGGGCGUAAAGCGCUCGUAGGCGGUUCAGCAAGUCGGCUGUGAAAGUCCGAGGCUCAACCUCGGAAUUGCAGUCGAUACUGCUGUGACUCGAGUCCGGUAGAGGAGAAUGGAAUUCCCGGUGUAGCGGUGAAAUGCGCAGAUAUCGGGAGGAACACCAGUAGCGAAGGCGGUUCUCUGGGCCGGCACUGACGCUGAGGAGCGAAAGCGUGGGGAGCAAACAGGAUUAGAUACCCCCGUAGUCC